rnacentral:rRNA from 1 species
AGUGAACGCUGGCGGCAGGCCUAACACAUGCAAGUCGAACGCCCCGCAAGGGGAGUGGCAGACGGGUGAGUAACGCGUGGGAAUAUUCCCUUUGGUUCAGGAUAGCCCCGGGAAACUGGGAUUAAUACUGGAUAAGAUCUACGGAUGAAAGAUUUAUCGCCGAAGGAUUAGCCCGCGUAAGAUUAGUUAGUUGGUGAGGUAGCGGCUCACCAAGACAAUGAUCUUUAGCUGGUCUGAGAGGAUGAUCAGCCACACUGGAACUGAGACACGGUCCAGGCUCCUACGGGAGGCAGCAGUGAGGAAUAUUGGACAAUGGGCGCAAGCCUGAUCCAGCCAUGCCGCGUGAGUGAUGAAGGCCCUAGGGUUGUAAAACUCUUUUAGUGGGGGAAAUAAUGAUGGUACCCACAGAAAAAGCUCCGGCUAACUUCGUGCCAGCAGCCGCAGUAA